GGUUCAUCUAAAACAAUAGGAUAUAUCAGAUAAUGUGAAAAUUCAAAAGCCAUGAUUAUUUUCUAAUGAUAUAUUUGACAGAAAGGCUUAUUUCAUAUUACAGUUAAAUAGAGUAUUAACCAUUGGAAGAUAAAGAAGAGCAGCAUCUUUUGCCCUUUCCUUUUUCUUCCUACCUUUUCCAAAGUGCAAGUGCGCAUGCAAAGAUAUUAAGGAUGGAAUUGGCAGAUUCUCAAACAAACA
rnacentral:misc_RNA from 1 species